rnacentral:rRNA from 2 species
CCGAACCGACUAAUGUUGAAAAAUUAGCGGAUGACCUGUGGCUGGGGGUGAAAGGCCAAUCAAACCGGGAGAUAGCUGGUUCUCCCCGAAAGCUAUUUAGGUAGCGCCUCGUGAAUUCAUCUCCGGGGGUAGAGCACUGUUUCGGCUAGGGGGCCAUCCCGGCUUACCAACCCGAUGCAAACUGCGAAUACCGGAGAAUGUUAUCACGGGAGACACACGGCGGGUGCUAACGUCCGUCGUGAAGAGGGAAACAACCCAGACCGCCAGCUAAGGUCCCAAAGUCAUGGUUAAGUGGGAAACGAUGUGGGAAGGCCCAGACAGCCAGGAUGUUGGCUUAGAAGCAGCCAUCAUUUAAAGAAAGCGUAAUAGCUCACUGGUCGAGUCGGCCUGCGCGGAAGAUGUAACGGGGCUAAACCAUGCACCGA